rnacentral:rRNA from 1 species
UGGGGAAUUUUGGACAAUGGGCGAAAGCCUGAUCCAGCAAUGCCGCGUGUGUGAAGAAGGCCUUCGGGUUGUAAAGCACUUUUGUCCGGAAAGAAAUCCUUGGCUCUAAUACAGUCGGGGGAUGACGGUACCGGAAGAAUAAGCACCGGCUAACUACGUGCCAGCAGCCGCGGUAAUACGUAGGGUGCAAGCGUUAAUCGGAAUUACUGGGCGUAAAGCGUGCGCAGGCGGUUUGCUAAGACCGAUGUGAAAUCCCCGGGCUCAACCUGGGAACUGCAUUGGUGACUGGCAGGCUAGAGUAUGGCAGAGGGGGGUAGAAUUCCACGUGUAGCAGUGAAAUGCGUAGAGAUGUGGAGGAAUACCGAUGGCGAAGGCAGCCCCCUGGGCCAAAUACUGACGCUCAUGCACGAAAGCGUGGGGGAGCAAACAGGAUUAGAUACCCUGGUAGUCCACGCCCUAAAACGAUGUCAACUAGUUGUUGGGGAUUCAUUUCCUUAGUAACGUAGCUAACGCGUGAAGUUGACCGCCUGGGGAGUACGGUCGCGAGAUUAAAACUC